rnacentral:rRNA from 1 species
GAUGAACGCUGGCGGCGUGCCUAAUACAUGCAAGUCGAGCGAACAGAUAAGGAGCUUGCUCCUUUGACGUUAGCGGCGGACGGGUGAGUAACACGUGGGUAACCUACCUAUAAGACUGGAAUAACUCCGGGAAACCGGGGCUAAUGCCGGAUAACAUUUAGAACCGCAUGGUUCUAAAGUGAAAGAUGGUUUUGCUAUCACUUAUAGAUGGACCCGCGCCGUAUUAGCUAGCUGGUAGGGUAACGGCUUACCAAGGCAACGAUACGUAGCCGACCUGAGAGGGUGAUCGGCCACACUGGAACUGAGACACGGUCCAGACUCCUACGGGAGGCAGCAGUAGGGAAUCUUACGCAAUGGGCGAAAGCCUGACGGAGCAACGCCGCGUGAGUGAUGAAGGUCUUCGGAUCGUAAAACUCUGUUAUUAGGGAAGAACAAAUGUGUAAGUAACUGUGCACGUCUUGACGGUACCUAAUCAGAAAGCCACGGCUAACUACGUG